rnacentral:lncRNA from 1 species
GGUGUAGCACUUCUCUCAUUGUUUAAAAACAAGAAAUGGACAGUGACUGGGGUAAGGGAGGAUACCGAGUCAUUUUUUGUGUCAUCACUCCCCUUGUCCUCAGCAGGAAAGACCAGGAAAAAGUGUUGGCUUAAGAUCUGCCACCCCCAGCAGUUCAGCUGUAGUCACAGCAGUCCUCUGCUGUGGUAUUUGAUUUACCAGCUGCACCAGUUCCUACUACACUGGCCAUGAAGGGAGAUGCUUUUGAUGAUUCCCAGAUGGAUACAGAUCUGCCAUGCACUCCACCGCUGCCUGACAACCUCACCCAGAAGUACAUACACUGGGCCUAUCAAGACUGACAAAGCAGAAAUGGGUGGCUGACAAGGAAAAAUAAAACAUGUACCUAC